rnacentral:lncRNA from 10 species
GGUUCUUCUAUCCAAGAGGAAGUCAGUCCUCUGAAGACCAAGUUUGCGUACUGGACAAUUUGAGCUGACAGCAGCUGCCAACUCAUGCUCGGCUCUUCACGGUGGACUGUCUCUUGUGCAGGUCAGCUUGUCCUGGCAGAUGCUAUCCAUGGCAGUGCUUCCCUGCCUGGGCCUGGGGAGAGGCCCUCCUGGGAGAUUCCUCUUCUGGCUGAGCCUGUACCUGGGCCUGUGUGCAGACUCAGCUGGCAGAGAGGAGAAGCAGCGGGACAUCAGGACUAUGGCUGGACGUCAGAGAGAAGCAGCUUAACUUCAGAGGUGCAGCUUGAUGGUGUAACUUAGGAGAAGAAUCUGACUGGAGACGGCCAGACUUCAGAAGAAGAUGACCUACCCCCCCAUCCCCUUUUCAGCUUCCCUUCCCGCUGAGAGCCACUUUUAUUGGCAAUAAAAUCCUCC